rnacentral:rRNA from 1 species
AAAAACUCCGGUGGUGUAAGAUGGAUCCGCGUCUGACUAGCUGGUUGGCGGGGUAGAAGCCCACCAAGGCGACGAUCAGUAGCCGGCCUGAGAGGGUGAACGGCCACAUUGGGACUGAGACACGGCCCAAACUCCUACGGGAGGCAGCAGUGGGGAAUAUUGCACAAUGGGGGAAACCCUGAUGCAGCAACGCCGCGUGAGUGAAGAAGUCAUUCGUGAUGUAAAGCUCUAUCAGCAGGGAAGAAAAUGACGGUACCUGAGUAAGAAGCCCCGGCUAACUACGUGCCAGCAGCCGCGGUAAUACGUAGGGGGCAAGCGUUAUCCGGAUUUACUGGGUGUAAAGGGAGCGUAGACGGCCAGACAAGUCUGAAGUGAAAAUCCAGCGCUUAACGUUGGAAGUGCUUUGGAAACUGCCGGGCUAGAGUGCAGGAGGGGCAGGCGGAAUUCCUAGUGUAGCGGUGAAAUGCGUAGAUAUUAGGAGGAACACCAGUGGCGAAGGCGGCCUGCUGGACUGCAACUGACGUUGAGGCUCGAAGGCGUGGGGAGCAAACAGGAUUAGAUACCCUGGUAGUCCACGCGGUAAACGAUGAUUACUAGGUGUCGGGGGGCUAGAGCCCUUCG